GAUGAACGCUGGCGGCGUGCCUAAUACAUGCAAGUCGAGCGAACGGACGAGAAGCUUGCGUCUCGGAUGUUAGCGGCGGACGGGUGAGAAACACGUGGAUAACCCACCUAUAAGACUGGGAUAACUUCGGGAAACCGGAGCUAAUACCGGAUAAUAUUUUGAACCGCAGGGUUCAAAAGUGAAAGACGGUGUUGCGGGCACUUAUCGAUGGAUCUGCGCUGCAUUAGCUAGUUGGUAAGGUAACGGCUUGCCAAGGCAACGAUGCAUAGCCGAGCUGAGGGGGUGAUCGGCCACACUGGAACUGAGCCACGGUCCAGACUCCUACGGGAGGCAGCAGUAGGGAAUCUUCCGCAAUGGGCGAGAGCCUGACGGAGCGACGCCGCGUGUGUGAUGAAGGUCUUCGGAUCGUAAAACUCUGUUAUUAGGGAUGAACAUAUGUGUAAGUAACUGUGCACAUCUUGACGGUACCUAAUCAGAAAGCCCCGGCUAACUACGUG
rnacentral:rRNA from 1 species